rnacentral:lncRNA from 1 species
AAUCAUCUUUGGCUCUUCUCCCUCCUAGUUCAUAUCCAGCCCACCAGUCAAAUACUUAUUGGCCAUUUAUAUAUAUUUUGAGAAAUGUUUAUUCAGGUCUUUAGCCCAUUUUCUAAUCAGGUUAUUUGUUUUUUUAUUAUUGGGUUGUUUGAGUUCCUUAUAUACUGUGGAUGCUACAAUGCCAAGAACACACAAUGGGGAAAGGAUAGUCUCUUCAAUAAUGGGUAUUGAGAAAACUGAAUAUCUGCAUGUAGAAAAAUGAAGUUAGACUCUCUUAUCACAUCAUAUACAAAAAUCCACUCAAAUGGACUGUGUAAGACCUGAAAUUGUAGAACUAUUAUAAAAAACAUAAGGGGAAAGCUCCAUGGCAUUGGUGUGAACAAAGAUUUCCUUUGGCUAGGACUGCAAAAGCACAGGCAGCAAAGAGUAAGUUUUUUUUUUUUAAUUAUUAUUAUACUUUAAGUUCUUGGAUACAUGUGCAGAACGUGCAGGUUUGUUACAUAAGUAUACACAUGCCAUGGUGGUUUGUUGCACCCAUCAACUCGUCAUCUACAUUAGGUAUUUCUCCCAGUGCUAUCCCUCCCCUUGCCCCCCAACCCCCAACAGGCCUCGGUGUGUGAUGUUCCCCUCUCUGUGCCCAUAUGUUCUUAUUGUUUAACUCCCACUUAUGAGUGAGAACAUGCAGUGUUUAGUUUUCUGUUCCUGUGUUAGUUUGCUGAGAAAGAUCAUUUCCAGCUUCAUCCAUGUCCCUGCAAAGGACAUGAACUCAUUUUUUAUAGCUGCAUAGUAUUCCAUGAUAUAUAUGUGCCACAAUUUCUUUAUCCAGUCUAACAUUGAUGGACAUUUGGGUUGG